rnacentral:lncRNA from 1 species
AGAUAUAGAGUGUGAGAGAGAAGAGUGGAGGCUGGUUCUCAGGCUCCAGAAGCAUAAGCCUGCAUGGAGCAUAGCGUCACUGAGCAAGACAGGUGUGGAGGAUGAGAAGCGGGCCACAGGAUGGGAAGGGAAUCUGUGUGGAGGCGGUGCCCUAAACAUGCUGCCUUGAGGAGGGACCUCUACAUGGGGUGGCCGGGCACAGCCAGGCUACCCAUGGGGACCUCAACAGCUUUGCCAUUGCACACUAUCUUUGCAGACAAGAUCUUAAUCACAUCCAACUUUCUGCAGUUGCACAGGGUACCUCAGACCCACAUCCCAGAUGACAUUCCUCAGAAGCUCGCAGCUGGAGAUGACAUCACCUUAGACAACAUCACCCUAGCCCAAGACAUCGCUAUUAGAGAUACAUCACCUGGACACUAAAGCCUCCAACCCAGUGACACUCUCAAGGUGCUGACAAAAUGGACAUGGACAUUUGUUGCUUUUCUUCUUUUGAAUUAGGAACUCUAUUGUGUUUCCUGAAUUUACUGUCUGCUUGGCCCAUGAUCCUGGUAUGUUCCUUGCUCUCUGCCAAAACAUGCACCGUCCCCUCCACACCUAAAGGAAAACCUGGUAGAAGCUACUACUCUCAAUGCCAUUCUAAAAUUGACGAAGAGUAUUAUUUUCCCCAAGAGGCAGCUGCUGCAGGCCAGUGAAUCCUCUGGACCCUGGGGAGAGGGUCAUACACUCCCUAGUGACUUCUACUGUAUGCUCCAGCUUUCCACCAGGACCUCCUGCCCUGUCCCCAACUGUAACGACCACAACCACCCCAUCCCCUUGGUUACACACAAAUAUCACCAGUCUUUACAUGUACUUUACUGACUUCUCAGAUAAUACCCUCCAACAAGAUAACUGCAGGACUUGCCACCAUGACCUGAGAAAUACACCAAGAUAUUAUUGUCCAAUUUUUUUGAGAUAUAUAUAUAUUUCUCAUACUUUUAACAUACUCUGCAAUCCACCAAGAUAUUGGUAGAGACCCUGGAAAUUUCAAAUCUAUUUCGUCUGCUAAUGCCAUGUGAAUGGGAAACUUAGAUACAGGCUGGCCUACAAGGACUCCUUAUACUUCAAUUUUUGUUCCUCCUUUCAACUCUCAUAAAAAAUAUUUUCUGUACUAUUUAGGGCAAAUGAUGGCCUUCUUUCUAAGUCUCAUCCAUCAUUGCUGCAAAGGUGCCUUAGUUUGAUGUUAAAGUGUCACAGGGC